rnacentral:sRNA from 1 species
ACUAACUUCAUCGUCGAUCUCUUCCGCCUCCCACACCAAUC